UACAGAGGGUGCGAGCGUUAAUCGGAAUUACUGGGCGUAAAGGGUGCGUAGGUGGUUAUGUAAGUUAGAUGUGAAAUUCCUGGGCUUAACCUGGGGACUGCGUCUGAUACUGCAAAGCUAGAGUACUGUAGAGGAAAGUGGAAUUUCCGGUGUAGCAGUGAAAUGCGUAGAUAUCUGGAGGAACACCGGUGGCGAGGGCGGCAUCCUGGACCGGCAUUGACGCUGAGGCGCGAAAGCCAGGGGAGCAAACGGG
rnacentral:rRNA from 1 species